ensembl:miRNA
AACAUUCAUUGUUGUCGGUGGGUUGUGAGGACGGAGGCCAGACCCACCGAGGGAUGAAUGUCAC